GCGCAGCCGCGAGUGUGGCUUCAGGUCGGCCGCGCGCCCCGCGCUUCUCGUCCCUCACACCCGCGGGACCUGGCACCGGCCGUUGGCGCCCCUCCCGAGCCCACAAACUUGGGGAGAGGAAGAACGAGGGAACCCCCGCCACCAUCCCCCACCCGCGCGCUCACCUUUCAUGCCAGGGCCCCGCUGCUCCACCGCUCCUGACACAUGCCGGAGCCACCGUCGCCCGGGUUUGUCUGAACUGCUUAUCUCACCCGGGGCUGUGCGGCGGCGGCUCCGCCGCUCGGGGAGGUGGAGCUUCCGGGGCCUGGGCCAAGAAACACCUGCUGCUGUCGCCGCUGAGGACACACCCAAGCGCAACGCCGCCCACUCCCCGGCCCCGGCUCGCUCCCGGCGCCCUGACCUCAGCCGGCGGGAGGUGUCGGGUUUCAGCCGCAAGCGCACGCGCGCGCACCGACAGACCGCCCGGAGCACCCAGCGCGGUCACAACCCGCCGGGUAGGUGCCGCCCCCCGCGCUCCUGGCGACCCUGGCUGUCCGGACAGUCCAGGGGGAUCUCUCAGAGGCCUCGCGGGCCACUCAUCUCCAAGAGUAGGGAGGAGUGGCUUACAACACGCCUGCCAUAUCCGAGCCUCAUAGCCGCCUCCCCAAGCGCCUGGAACAGUGCCUGGCACCUGGCCACCCACUAAGAGAGGGGAGGGAUAGGCCUUUCCUUGUGCUGAGUGGAGGGGACCACACAAUAUAGGCCGUUGGCCUCUCUCGAUCUCCAAGAUGCCUGAUCUAUUACCACAACUUUAAAGGACUUAAUGUUAAGAGCUCGGGCCACGAGCCUCUGUCCC